rnacentral:ncRNA from 1 species
ACCGAAACCCGCGGGAGCUCGGGCCACAGCCGGGCUGAGAGGGCGGCCUUCCAGGCGUCGCCGACCGCAUGAACCUGUCCGGGUAAUGCCGGCGUAGGGAGUGUGUGCCGUGACGUC